GUGUCAGCCGCCGCGGUAAUACGGAGGGUGCGAGCGUUGUUCGGAAUUACUGGGCGUAAAGGGCGCGUAGGCGGUUUGAUAAGUCAGAUGUGAAAGCCCACGGCUUAACUGUGGAAGUGCAUUUGAUACUGUCAGACUUGAGUACCAGAGGGGAAAGUGGAAUUCCCGGUGUAGAGGUGAAAUUCGUAGAUAUCGGGAGGAAUACCGGUGGCGAAGGCGACUUUCUGGCUGGAUACUGACGCUGAGGCGCGAAAGCGUGGGGAGCAAACAGGAUUAGAUACCCUGGUAGUCCACGCUGUAAACGAUGUGAACUAGAUGUAGGGGGUGUUGAUCCCUUCUGUGUCGCAGCUAACGCAUUAAGUUCACCGCCUGGGGAGUACGGUCGCAAGAUUAAA
rnacentral:rRNA from 1 species